rnacentral:rRNA from 1 species
UACGGAGGGGGCUAGCGUUGUUCGGAAUUACUGGGCGUAAAGCGCGCGUAGGCGGCUUUGUAAGUUAGAGGUGAAAGCCCAGGGCUUAACCCUGGAAUUGCCUUUAAGACUGCAUCGCUGGAAUCGUGGAGAGGUGAGUGGAAUUCCGAGUGUAGAGGUGAAAUUCGUAGAUAUUCGGAAGAAACACCAGUGGCGAAGGCGACUCACUGGACACGGAUUGACGCUGAGGUGCGAAAGCGUGGGGAGCAAACAGG